CACGUAGGGGGCAAGCGUUGUUCGGAAUUACUGGGCGUAAAGGGCAUGUAGGCGGUUCUGUAAGCCUGACGUGAAAGGCUAUGGCUCAACCAUGGCAUUGCGUUGGGAACUGCGGGACUUGAGUCACGGAGAGGGAGCUGGAAUUCCAGGUGUAGGGGUGAAAUCUGUAGAUAUCUGGAAGAACACCAGUGGCGAAGGCGAGCUCCUGGCCGAUGACUGACGCUGAGGGGCGAAAGUGUGGGGAUCAAACAGGAUUAGAGACCCUGGUAGUCCACACUGUCAACGAUGUGCACUAGGUGCUGGGGCGGACGCUUCAGUGCCGGAGCUAACGCGGUAAGUGCACCGCCUGGGGAGUAUGCUCGCAAGGGUGAA
rnacentral:rRNA from 1 species